CGAUGUCAGCGCCGUGACAUUUUGAGCUACAAGUGGAAUCUAAGGAUUCCGGUUUAGAGAGUUGAUAUUAAGGGUACCUUAUGUAUGCUUACCAAAUUUGGGGUCAUUUGGAGUCCGUUUGGAUAGGGUCUUGACUUGGCCAAAGUCCAGUGGCAUUGUCGUAAUUUGCUGAUUGGUCCGAAGGCCAUAACUCGUUCCAUGUGUAUGGGAAUGGGGUGAAACUUCAUGGAGGUGUGAAGAAAGUCAAGAGAAAGGAGUAGGAACAGACUGCACCCAAUUUGAAGGUCGGAUGAAUGAUCUAAGCCCCAGUAUGAUUCUCGGGUAAAAUGAUGUCUAGUGGCGGACAUUGGAAUUAUUUAUUUUAAGCAUAUAUAAGGGGGGUGUGAAUGGUGACAGCCUACCAGCCUCCCCCGGUGUGUCUACAGAUGGCCACCCCAAGUGUGCUGCCUUGAGGGACAACCUCAAGGGCCUGCCUUGGCAUGUCAAAGAAAUGCGCAAGGUACUCAUAGGGCUCGGGAACCCUAUGGGCAACGCAAGGUCGGGUGGAUUAGCGUUGGGCACCGGAAAAGGCUAGAGGUUGGCUAUAUAAACCAACAAGCCUCGUGGGCCAUCUAAAUGAUGGAAGGAUGCCUCCAAGCCGAUAGAGCAAUCGAGAUACUCUCCCCAAGAGACUCGUGAGCUAGCUUGUGAGCUUGGUCAAGGUUCAGCCAAGCGAGCAAGGGUCCGUUGGCCUAGACGCGCAGUUGUGGGGCGACACUGUGCUANNNNNNNNNNNNNNNNNNNNNNNNNNNNNNNNNNNAGAGGGCAUAUCUAAGGAAGACGCUUGAGAUAAAGGCCAAGGAUUGAGGGUUGCCCUACUCGAGUGAAGCAAAGGCCAAGUGCACAUGAACGAGGCAAUGUCAAGCUUGAGGAUAGGACUGUGCAUGCGAUGGCAAUGCUCAGGCCAAGGUGACGGACGAGUAUGUCCGUAGCCAUCCCCAGGGGCGCAUAUGGACGAGAUCCAAGGAUUAAAGGUGCACCAGAAGAGUUGCUUAUACGUUGGCCAUGUCAGCCGACAUGUUGAAGGAGCGGCACCAAAGGGGGAAAGCCUCUGAGGCGAGCUUCCCACAGGCACAGGAUCGUACUAAAGACCUGGAAAAUGAGGAAGGCUGGCCCAUAGUUGGGGGAACCAUGGGCACCGCACGACAAAAUUAUAUGCCGCUGACAAGUUGAAAAAUGAGCCCGUAACAAGUGGUAUCAGAGCAUAAAAUUGAGAGAAUAUUGGGAAUGUUAUUGCAGCGAUCACGUCAAAGCAUAGAUUGACAUUCGUUGUGCUCAUGAAGAUCGUUUGAGACGAUGCUACCUUGUAAAGAGAAUUGGUUGUAUGUUGAGACGCUUGAGUUGGCUAUGUCAACCAAGGCCCAUCAUUUCAGAAUUACGCCUUUUCACAGCCUUUGAUUCCGCCUUCGUCUGUGUGGGUUGAUUCAUCUCCGAAGCAUCUGAGAGUGAUUAAGAAACCUUCAAGGGAUGACUUCAAAUCAGUGGGUACCGUAUGCAGAGGGAUUCCAUGGAGGCACGUUGGGCCAACAGGUGUGGUCAUCGUGCAAUGCUGUUUGAGUGGAACCACAAAGUUGGACAAUCGGAUAGCUGGUGCUCAAAUGUCCUCGAUUGUGGGGAACCGUCAGUUCGUCAGAAACUCUGUUAGCGGUAUGUUGGCAACUAUGGUCAUAAGAGAGCAUGGACUUGACAAGGACGUCAAGUAAGGUUGGUAAAGUGCAUCAGAAGCUUGUCAAUCAAGUAGCUUGUUCAUGCAAAGCGACGAUCCAGGGUUGUUAGCCAUGAAAGAGUCUGGGCUGAGUUAAAGAAGGGGAUAUGCCGAUAAGUCAAAUGGUCAAGAGGAUGAGCCAUGUCUGCCAGGUCGUGCAGCAAUGUUCCAAGAGAGUUGAAGCCGUAGACUAUAAACAUUGUUGAUCGUGCUUAGGUCUUGCCAUGGAUGCAAUUAGGGCAUCAAGUUGAAUGCCCACCAAGAAGGUUGGGCUUGAGCUUUGCCGCAGGCAUGUGAAACGGUCUGUCUAAAGAAAGUCGAACUCAGGGUCGGAACGACAACCUAGCCACCUAAUGGGUUGCGAAGAAUGGUAGGAGAGUCCCUAAACCUAGCCACCUAAUGGGUUGCGAAGAGUGGCAGGAGAGUCCCUAAACCUAGCCAUCCAAUGGGUUGCGAGGAGUGGCAGGAGAGUCCCUACAGAAGAGAGCUAUGCAGGAUGAGUGGGCAGUGAAGCCUACGGCAUGGACAAGCAGAGCUUGCAGUUGGAGAGAGUGCUAUGCCAGGCAAGAACCAGGCUAGCACCAAGCGGACCAUUGGGCCGCGACAACGUGAAGAAGGACCUGAGUGCAGGCUUCUUUGCGGGAAGAUGGGUGUUAAAGUCAGGUAGAGGUAAAGCCAUCAGGUGUGUGAGCAGUAUGCAUAAACCAAACCAUUUCAUGGAGAGGUGUUGUGCCAAAGUACUAUGGGUAAGGAAAGUCGUCAAAGUGGAAUUAGAUAAAGCAUUGAAAAUGAAUUGGGUUCCAAAUUUAAGGAUGGGUUCUUUCCAAGAGUAGAAGAGCGGGUCGGAGGCCGCAGAUGGGUGAACCAAGAGAGUUCUCGCCAUAGGCUAUAGGUACAAGGGUACCCCGAACGUUGAAGGACUGCGAAGGGAAAGAUUGAGUUUUGAACGAAGCAUCUAAUUCACAGAGUAGUGCGCAGAUGCCGGCACUUUGAGAUAAGAAGCACUUGCCAAAGGGUACGUCCCAAGAGAGUGUGAGGUGCCUAUGGGCGCAGAGCACACGAGAUGCCAAAAGGUGCAAUGGUGAAACAUGGGUUUCCAAAGGCUGUUGUGAAUGAUGAUUGGGACAAAGUUCGUAAUUUAGGCUACCGCCAGUGACGUCGCUCGAGGAGAAAAAAUAAGGACCAUAAGGGUAUGGUUGGCAAAGAUGCCACAUCGAGGGAUGCCUACCUAGCUACGUUGUGCUUAAAAGGUAGAAGUCCAGGAGGGAAGAUAGUUGUCUACCAGAGGCAAAGGAUCGAAGGGCUAGACAUGCCAGGUAUGGAUGGCCUAGUAGGAUCGCCAGGGUGGAAACAGAUUCCCGAACAAGAUGAAGGCCGUUAGGAGCAUGGUGCGGAUAUGACUUAAGGUCACCGCAAAGUUAGUCACCAGAGGGUGUAGGUAUAGAGACACCGUCCGAGCAGAAGUGCGGAGUGCACUCUUGGAUAAAACUAGGGGGAGAAGGGCAAGGGGCCUGACUCUAUUUUUAAGAAAGAGCUCACAAGAGUUCCUACACACAAGGAUUUGGGGGCCGCGAUGUAAAUCCCCAAGGGUGCAGACUUUGGGUUGUCGUCGGUGUUGCAUGUCAUUGAGGACAAUGACUACUUCAGGUGUGUGAGGGUGUGAUGCCCCAAAAGUUGGGGCUGUCACUUGCCAAGAUUGUGCGCGCCAACUAGGCCACAACCUUGUCAGCUAUGCAGGCGGCAUGUGCUGAGGGAAUAUGCUGAAGUCGAAGAUGAGGCAAAGGGGCAUAACAUGAGGCAACAAACAUCUAUAUAUGUUGCAUGACAUUUCCUAAGAAUUCCAAUGUGAUUUGAAGAGGGCUUGGCGUGAGCCCAAGGGGGUGGAGGCAUGGUGAGGAUCGUGUGCGGUGUUCGAUGUCAGCGCCGUGCCAUUUUGAGCUACAAGUGGAAUCUAAGGAUUCCGAUUUAGAGCGUUGAUAUUAAGGGUACCUUAUGUAUGCUUACCAAAUUUGGGGUCGUUUGGAGUCCGUUUGGAUAGGGGCUUGACUUGGCCAAAGUCCAGUGGCAUUGUCGUAAUUUGCUGAUUGGUCCGAAGGCCAUAACUCGUUCCAUGUGUAUGGGAAUGGGGUGAAACUUCAUGGAGGUGUGAAG
rnacentral:lncRNA from 1 species